UUUUUUUUUUUUUUUUCUCAUGUAUAUAUAGACUAAGAUGGUAUUUAUUUUUUUACUUAAUUCUAAAUACAACCUUAAUACUUAAUAGUAUUAAAUAUUAGGUUAUUUGUUUUUGUAAUAUUUUAUUUCUAUUAAGUAUUAAAAAGUAAAAAAAAUCAUUAUGUUAUUUUUUCUAUUUAGAAAAAGUCACAUAUUCUGUAUUUUUUUAUUUAGUAAAAAAUUUAUAAUAAGUCAUGAAAAAGUAAAAAAACAAACAACCUAAAUUCUAAAACUAAAUGAUUUUUAGCAAAAAGUCAAAAAAAUAAAUAUCACCUAAGUUUUGACGGUUUAGUAAGGAAGUGUUUUUCGAAAUUUUAAACUUUAAAGUUUUAAUAGGGGUUAAAUAUAUUUUACAAUCUCAAUCUUUAAUUUGUUUUAUACUUUUGUACACUCACAUUCAAAGCUCAACCAUUUACCUCUCAAAUUUGUUAAAGUGUAACACUUAACCCCCAAUUUAAAAACAUUCAUUAAAUUAUAAAAAAAAUAUUCUUUUUCACAAUUUGAUUUAAAUACUGAUAUAAUUGAUUGAAGUAAUUUUUUUCAAAUGUCUUUAAAAUAUGACAACAAGCAAUUUUAAUUUUUUAUUUUAAAGAUAUAUUUAUUUAUAUUCAUGAUUUUUGCAUCCAUUGUGAAACAUGGUAGUUGUCACACCCUUGGUUAUCUCACUUAAUUUUUCACAAGUGUGCGGUGCUAAAGACCCUUCCUUAGCCAACCUUCCCUUCCCAGUGUUUAGAAGAACAUAGUAGAAUAUAGAAAUAAACAAACAACAGGGACACACGAGGUUACGGGAAUCUUUUCCCAACUUGUAUUAAUCACUCUUACAAGACAAAAUUGUUUCUUGAACCAUAAUACAAUGCACUCACCUAAGGCAUAUGAGAAGGAACCCUUUCCCCAAACUCUCUUUCUCUGUUUCAAGGCUACAAGAGCCCUAUUUAAAUGACUCAAUCUGCAAUUACAAAUUUGAAUUCCCUCAAUUCAAAUCUUGGAGCCAACUAGGUGGUCAUGCAAUUGGCUAGAACUACUCUCGACUGCCCUGCAUAACCACCCACCACCCCAGAUAGUGGCCUGCACAUGCCACCCACUUGCACCAGCCAUCAUCCUUCAGCCAACUACAAGUCAAUGACGACUUGACUUGGUCACUGGUUUGUCCGAGCUAGCUAUCACUAGCUAGCUGCACUGCCAUCUCCUCAGGUCUUGCUCGCCAAGCUACUGGUAAGUCCCCCUAACAAGCCGACCCCUCCCCCUCAAGGUGUCUCUUAUGACCGGGUGCCCAUCAGUAUGUCUUUGAUCAAGGCCUUCUGAGCCAAGCAGCGUGCACCACCCAUCUGACCAAGCAUCUAGUGCAUUAGUGUGUCUUUCUCACACUAACAUCUGAGCUCGUGCCAUGUCUAAGUGCUCAUGGCUUGAGCUUUGUUACUUGCUUCCCAGCUUCCUAGCAACGAACCAUGGCAUUGCGCCCAUGGCUAAGUCCUUCUUGGUACACAGGUCAUUGCGCCCAUGUGCUCUGCGUAGGCAUCUCGGUGCGAGUCAGCUAUUGGAGCCAUCAGACCAUGGCAUUGUGUCCCUGGUUUCAUCAGCUGGCUCACCGCACAAGGCUUAGGCACCCUCGUGCCUGCGCGGGGAGGGUGUAGGCCGCACCAGGCCUCGUGCCGUUACGGCCACGGAGUGCACAACACACAUGUCGUGGAGCCCAUGUGUGCGUGCUCGAGUCGCGUCGUGUGUCUUUGGCACGCCAAGGCUGUGCCAUGGUGCCCCCUUGGUGCAGUCAAGGCUUCUCUUGGUGGCUCCCUCCUUUGAGUCACCUACCCCCCCCCCCCCCCUUAAAGAGCAAUACAUGUCGUUUUCAUUAUUUCUUGAGGAGACAUCAAUAUGUCUGAGGAUGCAUAAUGGAAUAUAAUUUUAAUUAUAAAUUAAAAUUCAAAAUCAGCCUUCAUCUGCACCACUUAAGUCAGGUGCACGCGCGAUGCCCAUCUGGUAUGCACGCGGUGCAUGUCUGGCUCGCCCGUAUGCGCGCUCGGUGCACGUUUGGCUCGCCCGUGGUGUGCGUCUAGCUCGCCCACGAUGUGCGCACGGUGCGCUUCUGGCUCGCCCUUGGUGUGCGCGCGGUGCGCGUCUAGCUCGCCCGCGGCCUCCUCACAUGGCUCCUGGAGUUUGAACUACCAAACCUCCAGGAUUUCCCUACUUUCAUCCUAAGCUUUCAUGGGUGCAAGGCCUACCCAUGAGACCUAUUCCUCCAUGGUUAAGUCAAGGGUCUAAGGGGCUCGGUAACUUUGAACUUAAAUAAUAUGUGUUUUUAUUUAUAUUUCAACCCAAUUUUUUAACUUAACAUGAUAUUAUCCUUUUUAGUAAGUUUGUGGGGAGAGGGGUUUUAAAUGUGAUUUUUUUAACAAAUUUGGAGGACAAAGUGUUGAGUUUUAAAUAUGAGUAAGCAAAGUGUAAACAAAUAUAAAAGGUUGAUAGGGUUAAAUUUAACCCUACUAUUUUUUAAUUUUUAAUUUUUAUUUUUAUCAAAUUUUACAUAAAACACGAGCCCUAAAAUAUACUCUUAUGAUGCAUCACAAUAUUAGUGUGUAUAUUCAAAUAGAUGCAUAAAAAUAUAUAUUGGAAUUCGUUUUGAGCUUAUCUUUAAUACUUUUUUUAACAAACAAACUCUAGAAAAAAGGAUUUUGCACAAAGGUAUGAAAAAAGAAAAGGGAGAAGAUCAAAGUAAAAGGUAAGUGUGAAAUCAAAUAAUGAAAAUAAUAUUUUAAUUAUAUUAAACAUUUUUUAGAAGGACGGAUCUAUAAAAUUAAUGUUUUAAAGUGAACGUAUGAAUAGAAUUGAUGUGUAGAAUGAUCAUGUGGGUGUAAUUAUAAAUUCUUAUAUUAUAUAAAAUUUCUUUUAAUUAUUUAAUACAAUUUAUAAAAUAUAACGAGAAAAAUCAUUAAUUAGAUCAAGGAAAUCACCCCAAAGAGGACAAAUUUGGUGAUUCAAAGGUUUUCAAAACAGUAAACUAAAAUGCAAAAGUAAUAAGAGAUGAGAAACAAAUUAAUGAUGAUAAAGAGAUAUUGAGAGGAAAAAAAUGCAAACUAUUUAAUAGAGGUGUGAUAAGCCACUUAAGUCCACUUUUCUUCAGCUCUUAAUUGAAUCAAAGUUCUACUAUUUUCAAAACCUUUAUACCUUAUACCUUCAAAUUUUCUAUACUUGGAUUUCAAAGUUCCAAUGGAUUUUCAUAAUUUUUUAAAGUGCUUAACCUACCUGAAUAAAUUCUCCCAUAAGUAGAUAACGAAUGAUUUAAAGAUUCUAAACCUAGCACCAAGUUUAACUCACAAAACAAUAAAAAGAUUAGGAUAGAUGCACUAAGUGAUUUGCAAGUUAAUAAAUUGAUGCACUAUAAAAGGAGCUAUGGAUAAGAAAAAUAAUGCUUUUCAAUUGAAUGCAAUUGUUUUAUGUUUAGUAAAUAUUAUAAAACACUUCAAUCUAUAGGUUUCUAGUUAUGAGAUUCCAAAAGCCACAUAAAGGUUUCAAUCGUUUGAACAAUCGGUUUAAUCAAUUCACUAGCUAUUGGACAUUUAAUACUUGUUAGAUGACCAUCAGAACUCGAAGCCUUGAUCAUUUAAGCAAAUGAUUUGACCGUCUUUUGAUUAGUCAUGGCUAUACCAUAGCUACUAAAUGUCAAAGGUGCACAAAGUGUCUCUCAACUAGUUGAAUCUAAUCGUCUUAAUUGGUUUUUUGAUACCUUAAUUGGUUGUAUUGAAAAGUGUUUAAAAAAAUUUGAUUUUGGGUCUAAAACUUCCGACAACUUAGCCAAACCUACGUAAAAACAUUUUUCAAGUUAGUUUAAAAAGAAAUUAACUAAAGGUUUUAAUCGAAAACAAUAAUUCAUCAAACUCUUUUAUUAAAACGAUUGUUUUAAGCUAAAUAAAAGUAUGAAAAUAAACCUUGGAAUGCAUGCAAAAUGAUGUAAACUCAAGUGCACCAACAAAUAUCAUAUUGCAAUUUAUUUUAGGCCACUCAAAGUCUUUAUGAGUCCAAAGCCUUUAUGGUAUUCACUUUUUUCCAUAAUUAUUUGAACUUUCUUUGAAUUUUCACAAAUAAACCUAAAAACACUUGAUUUAAUCAAUUAAAUAUCUUCAAUCUUGUUUUGUAAUAAUCAAAACCUAGUUAUGAGAACCAUUUGAUUAAUGAAUAAUUUAUGAAAUAAAAAUAAUAUAACCUAUAAUUAAGGGUCUAUUUCAAAUAAGUAUCCCUUAUAAUUAGGUGUCCAUCUUGAUACAUGUUCUAUUUUAUGUUUUCAAUAUGGGGAAAUAUGAGUAUUUUUUUGUAUAACCUAUAGGGGGUGUUUGGUACAUCGGAAUAGGAAAUGGAAAUAAUAUUUUGUUUCCUUUCCUAUUUCUUAGUGGAAUGGAAUGAAUUUGAUGAUUCCAUUUUUAGCAUUUGGAUGAAUUUAGGAAUGCAAGAUUGGAAUGAUUAUUUGUUUCCAUUCUAAUGUUUGAUAAUAAUAGGAAUGGAAAUGAAAAAUAAAUAAAUUUACAAUAAUAUCCUUACAUAUAAUUAAAAAUAUUUUUUUUAUUUUUACUUUUAUUUUAAAAAAAUAAAAUUUGAGAGGUUUUUUGUUAUUAAAUAAUAAGACUAAAAUAUAUAUAUAUACAUACUCAAUAAAUAAAAAAUUAACCAUAAAAAAUCGUAUAACCCUAAUGCACAAAUAUUCAAUUAUUAUUUUUAUUAAAAAUUUGAAUAAUUUGUCAUGCUUAAGUAGUUAUAAAAUUAUAUUUUUCAAAAAAUAAUUAUUUAUUAUAAUAUUUAAAUUCUCAAAGCUAGCAAAUGUUUUUCCUAUUUUCAAAAGAGGAAAUAAAAGAAUUCAAAUUUAUUCUAAUUUUCAACAAGUAUCAUAUCCGAUAAAAUCCAUAACCUUAAAAAAAUUUUGUUUUUAUUUGUUUUUUUCUUUUUAUUUUUUUCCUAACCAUUAAAAAUUUUCAAUAUUGUAAACGCAUGAAAUCCAUUUCUAUUUUUCUCUCUAGUUUCCAUUGAUACAAGCUAAAGAAACAUCAAAGAUUCCAAACAUAAAUUAAUAAAAAAAAAUUAAUCGAUUUAUAGAGAAGAAUAAACACAUAUAAAGAAGUAGAAUAAGAAAGAGAAAAUAAGGUAAACCUGAUCGAAGAUGUAGAAGGGAGUUUUCAGAACCUAGUUGCAGCAAACAAUGAUGAAUCCUAGAUCCAGCAAUCAAAAUGAACAUCCAAAACCCUAUAAAUUAGAAAUUUAUUUUUUAUUUUUUAAAUAUCGUGGAAGGUUUAAUUGAUUCAAUUUGGAAGAAUCACUUGUUACAGAGAAUUGGAUGAUGAGUGGGUCUCUAGCUUUGCAAAGAAGAUAAGAAUUGGAUGAUGAGUGGGUCUUUAGCUUUGCAAAGAAGAUAAGAAGUGGAUGAUGAAUGGAUCUCUACCUUUGCAAAUAAGAUAAACAUCGGGUUUGAAGAACAAGUUAAGAGGGUAAAAUAGUAAUUUAGGUUAUUUUAUAUUAUCAAAUAGGUUUAAUGAAUCAGAAUACCACCUAUUUUUAAUGAAUGCAAAUCCGACUCAUAAGUUGGAUUUGAUUUCUGCCGGAAUAAUUUUUUAUUUUAUUUCCACCUUCUUAACAUUUAUCCAAACAUAGGAAUAAAGGAGAAACGGAAUGAGAUGUCUAUUCCCACUCCCUAUUCCCGUGCACCAACAAAUAUCAUAUUGCAAUUUAUUUUAGGCCACUCAAAGUCUUUAUGAGUCCAAAGCCUUUAUGGUAUUCACUUUUUUCCAUAAUUAUUUGAACUUUCUUUGAAUUUUCACAAAUAAACCUAAAAACACUUGAUUUAAUCAAUUAAAUAUCUUCAAUCUUGUUUUGUAAUAAUCAAAACCUAGUUAUGAGAACCAUUUGAUUAAUGAAUAAUUUAUGAAAUAAAAAUAAUAUAACCUAUAAUUAAGGGUCUAUUUCAAAUAAGUAUCCCUUAUAAUUAGGUGUCCAUCUUGAUACAUGUUCUAUUUUAUGUUUUCAAUAUGGGGAAAUAUGAGUAUUUUUUUGUAUAACCUAUAAGGUUUUUUAGAGGCUUAUCUAAAAAAAAAUGAAGUACUACCUUAAAUUUUAAAAUGUCUUAAAAGUAAUAUUUAAGCAUAUAAGUAAAUUUAUGUUUUGUUAUACUAGUUGUUUUAUUGUUAUAUAUAAGGUUUUUAUUAAAAAAAAAACAAAAAAAAAAUCCAAACAAACACAGGUGAUAAGAUUAUCAAUUUGUAACUAUUUCAAAAUGGAAGAUUUUAACAAUCAUCUUGAAAAUAUAUUUAUAGACCUUGGCCCACACUUUUUAUUUUUUAGGACUUAUUUGGUUAGUGUUUUUGGGUUUUUUUAUUUUGAUAUUUGACCUAAUUUUCAGGCUCAUUUUUAUACCCAUUCGAUUAUCACAUCUAGACCCUUCAUUUUGAAAUUCAAUCCUAAGACCCAUUUUCUACUCCUCUCUUCUUCAACUGCCGUUGUCACUCACUACUUUCCGCCGCCAUUCCCACUUCGUUCUCAUAUUCUGUUUUGUUUUCUUUCUUUUCCUUCCUCUCUUCAUCCCCCCUCUCACGCUGCCACACCCCUCGUCUGUGUCGCCACCCAUCGCAAUAUCUUCGCCUUGCGGCCAUACCUACGACAACCGCAACCACGCGUCACCAUCCUCCAUGCUUCGGUUACCCCUCUGCCUCCAACCGAGCCACUCAUGGCCACCACACUCCUUCAAGCCAUUACCGCCCCUUCUACCAUCAUCUUUUUCCAUCCAUGGGUUUCAUGCUAAGGAGGUUUCCAUCUUGAUUUACAUGAUAACUGUUUUUGUGUUUGCGUUAUUGUCAUAAAUUACGGAUAUGAGCUUGAAUUUGGGUUUAGGCUUUGUUUGAAGGGAGAAUUAUGUUUUAGGGGUAGAUGGGCUAAAUUAACAAAAGAUCCAUAUAACUCUUUAAAUUGAGUUGAAGGAUAUGAAAUAGUAAUGGACAAAUAUACCCUUUAAGAACAUAUAUAAAAUAUUUUAUAAAAUUAAGUUAAAUAAUUUUUUUUCAAUAAUUUUUUUUUCAAAAAUAUUAAAUUAAAUAAAAAUAGUUUUCAAAAAUAUUAAAUUAAAUAAUUUUUUUUUCAAAAAUAUUAAAUUAAUUGUUUUUUCAAAAAUAUUAAAUUAAAUUAAAGUAUUUAAAAAAAUAUUAAAUUAAAUAAAUUUAUUUUAAAAAAAUAUUAAAUUAAAUAAAUUUAUUUUAAAAAAUAUUAAAUUAAAUAAAAAAUAUUAAAUUAAAUAAAAGUAUUUUUCAAAAAUAUUAAUUUUUUUCUCAAAAUCAAUAAAGAGCAUUUUUGGAAAUACUGAACAACUCAAUUUUCAUACUUUUAUUGGGUCUUAGACUCAAUUUGAAGAGUUACAUGGACCUUUUGUUAAUUUAGGGGUCCAUCUACCCUCAAAACAUAAUUCUCCCUUGUUUCAAUAUCAUAUUUGGAUUAUUGAUGAAUUUAAGCCUAACUGAAUUAAUCUAAACUGUAAUUUUGGGCUUGGACGUAUGGAUAUUUUGUUUGGGCUUUGCAUGUUAGAGCAUUUUGGAUUUGGGCUUCCACUCCCUAUUUGAUUUGGUCUGUGAUACUUUGGAUGAACUUGGGGUUACAUUGGUACUGCACCCUAAGGGGUUCAUUUAAUGAAAUUAUUUGGAUAAAUAUUUUUCCAAAUGUAUUUUUAAAAUAAUAAAUUUGAAAUCCAAACAACUUGCAAAGUCUUAUUAAUGAAAUCGAAAAACCGUUCCACAAGCCAAACAAAUAUAAUAUUUUUUUAAUAAAUCAGUGGAAAGUUGAAAAGGAGGUUGAGUGUAGGUAUUGUUAACAACUUAACACUUAAUAUCAUCCAAUGAAUUCGAUCCUAUUCAAUACUAAAAUUAUCAUUAAAGCUAAUUAUAUUUGAUUAAAGUAACUGUUAAGAGAUUUUUUUGUUUAAACAAGGAGGAUUGGAUUGGACGGUUGUAAAGGAUUUAAGAAUUUGUUUUCGCACCGCACAAUCGCUUUAUUAUGAUUUUUAUUUUUUUGGGCAGUCAAAGCACUUCGAAAAUUUCAGUGAUAAGGCCUAGGGUGAGGAUGAAUUGGGAUGAGCCCAAUUUCCCUAAGCUCCACGUCACUGAUUAUAUAAAGACAAAUAAAUAAUGACUUGAGAAGGAAGAGUUGAAAAGAGGUACGAAAGUAAAAGCAAAAGCGCGUUUUGUAUGGUACGGUAGUUUUGAUUGAAUUUCAUCUGGACGUGUUCCAUCUUAAAAUAGUUGUUCAAAAUGAUUCAUAUCCUUUAGGCUGUUCCCGAAAAAUGCUAAGAAAAGGAAAAAAAAAUGUGAAGGAAAAUAGUUUUCUUUAGUUUGGAUGACAUGAAAAAUAAGAUGAAAAAAAAAUAUAAAGGAAAGUAUGAAAGAAAAUAUUGUAAUAUUUUCUUUAUUAUUUUCCUUAAAAAAUAAAAAGGAAAAUAAGGGGAAAAGAGAAGAGCAAAGGGGGGGAAAAUUUUGUCGGGGGAUCUAUUGUGCCCAUUAUUUUUUUCAAUUCUGCUCAGCCUCCUCUCCUUUAGGACUUCAAAGCACCUUGCUACUGUUAAAGGCCAGAAAGAAUUUUAUACAAUCCAGCAAUUUUUUUUAUUUUUUUUAUUUUUAAGAAAAAACCAAGGCAAUUUUUGGAAAUUAUUUUUGAAAACAAUUUUUGAAACUUGAAUUAUUCUUAACCAGUUUUUUUUAAAUAUUUUUUACUAUACUUUAAAUAUAAUUUUUAUAUGUAAUAUUUUACUUUUUUCUAUUAUUUAUCAUUAUUUUUAAGGUAAUUUUUUUAAAAAUAAGUGAAAGUAAUUCAAAUAUAUUAUUUAAAAAUAUCAUAUUUUGUGAUUUUAAGAAAAUCAUUUUAUGUUUUUAAAAAUAUAAAAUUAUUUUCUAUUUUCUAAUUAUUAAACUUAUUUUUUUGAUCUUUUAUUUUAGAAAACAAGAAACUGUUUUAAAAAAUAAUUCAUAAACAUAAUUCGAAACUAUAUCUAUCAUUAUUUCAUAAUAUUGAAUAAAAAUAAAAAUAAAUAACACCUAGCUAAAAAAUGAUAAAAUUUAGGUAUAAAGUAAUAAAAUACAAAAUUAUGAAAACCGACUACACACAUUAGACUUAAUAAUUGGUGGGGUAUUAUGUGCUCUUGGAACUCACCCAAAAAGUAUCAUUUUGGUGCUCUACUAGGACCUUCUUUUCAAUAAAGGUGCAUCAAAUUAACCCUUUUUUUUCUUUUCUUUUUUUUAAUAUAUAUAUAUAUAUAUAUAUAUUGUGCGUGUAACAUGCAGGAUAUAAUAAUCAUUUCUCCAUGUAAAAAUAUAUGAACAUAUUUUAUUUUUAAAUUUUGAUUUCUAAAAUCCUUUUAAAUUUUUUAAGAGCUUUUUAUUAGCUAUAAAUGUUCCCUUGAAAAUAAAAAAUAGUUAUUUACUCAUACAUUUUAUUUGUAUUACAUGAGGAAAAUUUUAUACAUAAAUCUUAUAAUUAUUAAUAAAAAAAAAUAACAGCAAAGACCUUUUAUGAGCAAUAUUUUAUGUCUAAAAAUUCACGUUUUUCAACAAUUUUUUUAUUGGAUUAAUUUAUUUUAUUAUUCAACAAAUUGAUAACCAUUUAAGACAAAUUGUUGAUUUUAUUUUCCUUCUAUUUUUCCUUAUAUUUUUUUUUUGUGGUUAACCAAAUAAAAGAAAAUGAAUUCUUUUUUUUUUUCUCUUAAAUUUUCCAUGGAUAACCAAACAAGUGAAAAAAUUAUAUUAAUUUCCUAACCUUUUUCUUUCCUUCUAUUUUUCCUCCCAAUUUUCUUUCUCUCGCAUUUUCCGAGAACCAAACAGCCCCUUGAUGUUUCAAAUUAUAGUUUUAUUGCAUUUUUAUAAUCAAUAUUUUAAAUUAAAUUAAAAAGUAAGCAAGCAACAUCUUAUCGAUGGUCGGCGGCACCACCAAUCCAUGACGGUGACUGAUUAGUCUGACGGUAUUUUAAUCUGCUCUGCUCUAGAAGUUUCAGGAUAUCCCUGGAAGCCUAGAAUGAGAAACUCGUUUUUUGUCGUUUAGUGUUCGAACCAUGGAAGAAGUUUCCCCGACGCGCUGCCGCCACCGAGUUUUUUCAACAGAUUUAAAACAGCCAACCGCCUACUGAAUUCCAAUCCAUCCGACAUCACACAUAUCUAUCCCUUCCCCCCUCUCUCUAUAUAUAUCCUAUCCAUCUACAGGGUCUCAUUAGGAAAAUUUUCACUCUCAAUUCAUCUUAUUCUUGCUUGGAGCGUGUAGGCAGAAAAGAGCUUAAUUAGUUCGGUGCAAUCACUUGAAUCUGUUGGCGAAGGUUUCAUUUACAAGCAAAUAACGAUGAGAAGAGAAGAUACAGCAGCUUCUCCCGCUUGCAAUUCGUCUCCAAAGUCUGGUUCUGGAAAAUUAUCCAGGAGAAAGGGAGCGGCAUGCAGCCAGCUGCAACGGGUGUUCCGCUACUUUGACAAGAACGGGGACGGAAAAAUAUCUCCGGAGGAGUUGCAGAGUUGUGUAAGAGCAGUGGGAGGGGAGCUGUCAGCAAAGGAGGCAGAAGCGGCAGUGAAGUCAUCGGACAUGGACGGAGAUGGGAUGCUGGGAAUGGAGGAUUUUGAGAUGUUGAUGGAGGCAAACGGAGAGGAGGAGGAGAAGACAAAGGACUUAAAGGAGGCAUUUGGGAUGUAUGAGAUGGAGGGGUCAGGAUGCAUCACGCCUAAGAGUUUGAAGAGAGUGCUGAGUCGACUGGGUGAGUCCAAGACCAUUGAGGACUGCAAAGUCAUGAUUCAUAUGUUUGAUAUCAACGGAGAUGGCGUCCUCAGCUUUGAGGAGUUCUCCGCUAUGAUGCGCUAGUCUUCUUCUUCACUCAAUCCUUCUUCAUCACCCACAGCCAUGAGCCAUCCACCAUCUCGUAAAUUCAUUUGUAUAUAUUUUCUAAACUUUAAUAUCUUUUCAUUUUUUGGAAAUGAAUAAAUCAUGGGAACAUGACUGUUGAUCUUGUUGCCCUCCAAUGCUUAUAAACAUCGACAAUUCAUGUCAUUGUGUGGAUGCUGCAUCAAUAUUUCACAAAGUUUCUUCAUCAGCUUCGCAUUAAAGUUUCCAUUGUACACUCUAAAUUAGAAAUGACCAGCAUCUUCAUGCUCAAAAUUAGAUUCUCUUUGUUAUCUGACCCACUUUCCUGUAAAAGGUGUUAAAAUUAUUCAUGUCCAAAAUCUUCAAAGAAAAAUCCACCCUUUGAGAACAGUAGUAAUGGGCAUGGUACAGAAGCAGUCCAAGAAGAACACAGCACUAACAUCUUAACUAGUGAAAAGGGCGGUUUAUGACCACAACACCUCAUUUACAUAUAUAAAAGAAAAACACAACUAAUUUUAUCAUCUUAUACUCCAUUAAGGGUGACCACGACUUUGCGUGCAGUAGCACGGUCACGGUGCUCACACAGCCAUAUCCCCUGAAGCAGAAAAGGAGGAAAAACUUCAGCACUUCCUGAUAUAGACUAAGAUCGUGGGAAAAUUCAACACAACAAGAAUCAUUGUCGAAAAAUCAAAUCAUAAUAUAAUCAAAUGAAAAAAGAAAAAAAGAAAAAGAAAAUGAGGAAACGACAGAAACAGGAUUCACAAUUCUGCAACUUCAUGCUUUAAUAUCAGGGUAUUACCGCAUUUCACACAAUAUUCUUAUUCUACAACCCAUCACUUCGAUGAAACAGUAAUUGCCUAGGGAUAUGCCAUUCGUUGAAUGGCUAUAUUGACAUGCCAAACCACCCAGUAUGAUGCUGAAACAUGGACAAGCUGUAAUAAUAUUUUAAAAUGGUUAAUGAACUCAAACAUCCAAAUAUGGGAUUUCGCUUGUGGAGGAGAUGGUGCAUUCAUACUAGUUGGCCACCUAUUUAGUAUAACCUCAAAAGGAUGCAAAAACCUUCCAGUCCAAUACAGAAGACACAGUAGCAGAAAGGAAGACGUUAACAUGCAGUACAAUGUAACAAAAUUACUACUGUGACUUUGAGAUUCCUUCUGAAUGAUGGAAACUUUCCCGACCAAUUCCCAGCAUUAACUGCUCAUAAGACUACAAAAACCUUAAAAUUAAGCUAUUUCAAUUGUAAAAUAGGCUAAUAGAAUCCAUUCUUCACCCAAGAUCCUUCCAUGAAAAUCUACAAUGUUGAAGCACACAUUUAUAGAUAUUUAUAUCAUAUAUUAUAAGUUAAGCCAUGCUCCUGAGGCUUAUGACAUCUGCCUCACAUCUUUGGCACCACACAAAAUAAUCCUGCGGAGUGUAUACCUUUCCUUGGGCAUACAGCUAAAACACAAAUCCAGGUAACAAAAUUCAAAGGUUAGUAACUUUCUUAGAACAUGUGUCCAUGUUCCAAGUUGUUUUUGACUUCUUGAGUUUACCAGUACAGGAGUAUCUAAAGCAAUAGGGUUUAAGACGCUAUGCAAAGGCUCAAUUUAAGCAUGUUCUCCAUUGGGAAUUUUCAUUGUAGCUCUUAUGGCUACAUAAUAGUUUCUUCCAGCCUACACAGAAUGAAACCACUUCUGUAACUUUGAUGGAUUAACAUACUUGGGCUUCUAUAUUUUCUUAAAACAUAAAUUUCUUAAAUACCUGCCAAGUUCCCAUGUUUAGCUGUCCAUCAGUAAUUGGAAUCCUGCACAACAAUAAAAACCAAGUAAAUGGUAAUUUGGUAAUGAAAUUUUAUAGACAAAAAAAAAAAAAAAAAAAAAAAAAGCCAAAGAAAAUGAAAUCAUUACGUGAGACUGCAACCAAACAUUGAAGAUUUGAUGUGUGCUGGCAUGUCAUCCGGACCUGAAAAGGUUGCAGGGUUAGAAUCAAUUUUGUGGCAAACUUCUUAUGAACAAUUUCUCUUAUUUGCUUUCCUUUUUUAUCAUUUAUCUAAUAUUUGUCAUUCCUUUCUUGAGUUUCACCCAUGGCAAGUAAAAUGCUUCCACCAAAAUCCAUGUUCAUUGACUUAAAAAAAUAAGAAGUUUAAAGCUUUGUACUGGUUGAUAAGAUUGAUGAGAUUUGGAAAGAAGUUCACAACACAGUCCUUGCAAUACCUUCUAUUGAGGAAAAAAAUUCCCUCAAAAAUGGGUAUGGAAUGUUUAGAUUGCCUCCCAAACACAAGUAGAAAGAGGGGCUUGAUACAGGAAGUUUUAAAAAAAUGUAAACUGCUAUUUUAUGCAUCCAAAAGCACCAGUGCAACAUUCUGUGGUAAGGAGGACAUGCAAAGAGGAAAUAAACAAAGCAUCGGGAAGUAAAUACAUUUCAAGUUUCACUUAGUAUUGGAUAGAGCAUGAAAAAGGGCUCAAUUUUUAUCUUUCUGCUGCGAUGGAGUAGCUUUGUUAUUGUUGUUCUGGAUUCGCUUUUCGGAACAUGGUUUUACUAUAUCUCGAUAUUUAAAAAAAAAAAUUAUACAUAAUAUAGAUUUACAAUUUGCUUUUGCAAUUGCAUGAAAACUUGGUAACAUGUAAAUUUAAAUUUGUUUGGGUGAAUUUUAAGAAAUGGGUUGAUCUAUUGAAAAUUACAUAUAUAUAUAUAUAUAUAUAUAUAUAUAUUUUUUUUUGUUUGAUAACCGUGGAUGUCCGGGCCAGUUUACGCGCACCUCAACUAAUCCUGUAGGGCCCUGAAGUUAACGAUCGGGUAAAUCUUCCAGUGGUCCUGAGGGGCUUGAACUAGUGACCAUUGGGGAGCAAACCCAGGGCCGGACCAACUGAGCUACCCCUCGGGGUUGUGAAAAUUACAUAUACAUGUAUAAGCAAAUUAUGAACAAGAAUACAUAGCUUAGAAUAAUAUAAUAUAUCUAGAUAGGUAAAAAAGUAAUGAAACCAAAAUAUCUUAUGCUGUGAGAGAAAUGAUAUUCCCUUAAAGAAAAUGAUAUUUCCAAAUCCUAAAUUGCUUCUAAAUGCAAAAUGAGAAAUCAGAGAUAACAUCCAAGUGAUUCAGGAAGGAUUACAGGUAUUUUCUAAUGCUUAGAAGCAUUUUUCAUACAAAAAUUAAGCAUUUGGUAUAGUUUUAAAAUUACUUUUAAAAAUCUAUAAAAUCAUUUAGACUAGCACUUGGUAGGUACUUUUUUUUUUUUUUUUCCAAAAUCACUCUUUUGUCAUGUAUUGCAUUGCAAAAAACACUAUAAAAAAACACCAUUUAUUUUUGUUUAUAUCUAGAACACUAACUGAUUCUCCAUUGAAGUGUUUUUAAUAGAAGUGCUACUAACAGAAGUCCUAGAAGCUAAAAGUGUUUUUACUCGAAUAACUCCCUAAAUGGGCCCUAAGAAACAAAAUUCUUUCUCCAAUUUAAGAAAUGAAAAUCAACUGAAGAAUCAGAUCAAGAAAUCUAUUUCUCUAAUUUGGAGAAAUGAAUCCCAUACAAACCUUCCAGUGUAUGCUUCCAAGGUGCAGAUCUUCCCUGAAAUUAUAAAAUCAAACACCAUAUAAAAAUCACUUUUCAAAUAAACUACUCUGCCAAAGCAAGCACAGAAGGGAAAAAUUAACCUCUGGAACUAUUUUGCUGAGGAAUGUCUCAGUGUCAUCUCGAACGUCCGAGUCGUAAUUUUCAUUUAUAGUCAGAGAAGCACUUGUGUGCUGAACUGGAAAAGCUCAACCCAAUAAGGUAAAAUCAUCAGAUGUUGAACGUCAAAGGGGAUUUUUCAUAUGCCGUCUGAAAAGGAAUUGGAUCACUCACUGAAUAGAUGAGCAAGGCCACAUUUGAAUCCUGACAGGUCUUGCCCAAUUUCCUUCAAUAUCUAAUGAAGAAAAUCUUAAAUUAACACGAGUAUAAACAGAUAAAAUCUACUGGAUACAAUUGGUGCUUCAUUGAAAUUAUUUUCUUAGCUCAGGACGAUUAUCACCUGUCUCAAACAUGCAAAAACACUUAUCCUCUCUCACCGUUUAAACAAGACAAGUAAGCAGUGAAGAAACGCAUUUUAAUUUUUUUUUUUGAAAAAUUAAAAAUAGCACAAAUUAAUUAUGAAAUUAAUAACAAGUAGAAGCAGACCCAAGGCAAAAUUUAGGGAAUUCGGUAGCGAUGAAGUUAGGGAAUUGAAUUGAAUGGAUUAAAAUGAGAACUCGGAAGUCUAGGGAGGUGGAAUUUCAGAUGGACUAAAGAAGAGGUUUUUCAAUCCAGAGGAGGAAAAAGAAAGAAAAGAAAAAGAUUGGGAGGAUGAUACCUUAGGGGUGAUGUGGUGACAGCCUCGCCUCUGAGGAGGAAGAGUGAUGGUCUUCUGGGCCCACUUGGGAGCAGGAAUAGCAGCCAUGGAGGUAGAAUCUGUAGGAUCGUUGAAGGAGGUGGGAGUGUAGAGCGAUUUCACACGGAUCUGAUGCGAUGUUAGUGGUGGUUUUGCACCCAAGCUCAGCAGUGAGGCUUGCAUGGGUACUUCCUCCUUGAACUUAUACGUUAUAAUUAGCCCCAAUUUCCAAGCGCUGGGUCGAAUUAGGGCUACCACUGCAAGGGCCAACGCCAAUACCAGAAAUGCUCCCGCACUUUUAAUGGGGCGUGCAACACAUCUUCUUUCAUUCAUUUGGGCCCUUUUCGGCCUAUGGGUGGUGUGUGUGUGACCGCUUCAGUUGUUGCUUGCGCACCAACAAGUGGCCUAUAAAAUUUGACACGCUUUGGCAGGGGGUUUCUACAAAACUACAAGAUUUUUUAAAAAAUAUUUAUUAAAAUGCCGUUGCCCCAAAAUAUUUCUAAAACUACAACAAUUUGACCUGAGUUGAAAAGACGAGUUCUUAUUUUAUAUUGAACUUGUCUUUUCAACAUACGAGUUCAGUGCAAAAUUUAAAACUCAUUUGUUAAAAAAACGAGUUCAAUGUAAACUUAGGACUCGUCUUUUCAAUAGACGAGUUACUGAAAAGACAAUUUCAGUAUAAAAUUCAAAACUCGUUUAUUGAAAAGAUGAGUUCAGCAUAAAAUUUGAACUCGUCUUUUCAAUAGACAAGUUCAUUGAAAAGAUGAGUUUACAUAUCAGCUAAAAUUUGCAUACCUCUACUAAGUAACUGAGAUAUUUGAUUCAUAUAAGUAAGUGUCACACUCAAAUGGAUAAAAAAAUUUCAUAGGGAUAUACACUCAACCAUUACAUGUUAAUAUUAUCCAUCUAUGAAUUUUAAACCAAUAACAAAACUUGUCCUGAAAUUUUUUCCACAAGUUAUUACCAAUAAACUAGAUAGGAUCCAUGAAAAUGUCCAUUACCAGUAAAAUAUCACAUUCUUGUAAAAUGUUUAGUGUAACAAUCUCAGAUGGAAUAUUAAACUCCAAUUUUCCCCUACCAUAACUAACCAUCAUUUUGGCAUCAUCUUGAAGCAAACCGUAAAACACCCUCUGGCCCCUUUAUGGUAUAAUUGUCUUGGUCAGGAAACUUAGUUGCAUCACAUUUUAGACGAAAUAUGUAACAAACAACUGCCCCAAUUUAAUAUGCAUUCUUGGCAUUUACCAAAGAUUUUUCUAUCCUUACCCACAAAACUUAUUAAAACCAAAUGAGAAAUGUUCAGUUGCUAAAAUUCACUUCAAUACCCAUCAUUCAGUACUUAUCCUAUCCUCAUUCAAAUCACUAUAAUUUGUAUGUUAAAUAGAAAUCAUGUUUAAUUUCAAUACAUUAAAGAACCAAUGAGAUUUAGGUUGAUGUAGAAUUCCACUCUGCUUCAUCUAAAUAACCAGAACGAUUUGGGACCAUUAACUUUGCUUGCCUUGCAAACUCCACUGUCCGAAUAUUAAUUUAGUUACAUUUUGUCAUCAUCUU
rnacentral:lncRNA from 1 species